GUAUUUGGUCUCCAGGGGUGUUUUGACUGUACUAUGUGUGAGGUAUUUGGUCUCCAGGGGUGUUUUGACUGUACUAUGUGGGAGGUAUUUGGUCUCCAGGGGUGUUUUGACUGUACUAUGUGGGAGGUAUUUGGUCUCCAGGGGUGUUUUGACUGUAGUAUGUGGGAGGUAUCUGGUCUCCAGGGGUGUUUUGACUGUACUAUGUGGGAGGUAUUUGGUCUCCAGGGGUGUUUUGACUGUACUAUGUGGGAGGUAUUUGGUCUCCAGGGGUGUUUUGACUGUACUAUGUGGGAGGUAUCAAGAUUUGAAUCAGACAACAUUGUGUCAGAGGUAAAAAACAAACGGAAGCAUCAUUACAAAUGUUUGAGAGGGUUGUUGCUAAACAGGGUGAUGUUUUGAAGUUGUUCCGGGGAUGUAACACAUACAAAAGCCCAGACAAAAUAAGUGGGGUGUGUUAAAUAAGUGUGUGAAAGCGUUUGUGUUGAACAACUGGC
ensembl:lncRNA